AGUGAACGCUGGCGGCAGGCCUAAUACAUGCAAGUCGAACGGCAGCACAGCAGAGCUUGCUCUGUGGGUGGCGAGUGGCGGACGGGUGAGGAAUACAUGGGAAUCUGCCCAGUCGUGGGGGAUAACGUAUGGAAACGUACGCUAAUACCGCAUGCGCCCUACGGGGAAAGUCGGGACCGCAAGGCCUGACACGAUUGGAUGAGCCCAUGUUCGAUUAGCUAGUUGGCGGGGUAAAGGCCCACCAAGGCGACGAUCGAUAGCUGGUCUGAGAGGAUGAUCAGCCACGCUGGAACUGAGACACGGUCCAGACUCCUACGGGAGGCAGCAGUAGGGAAUAUUGGACAAUGGGGCGAACCCUGAUCCAGCCAUGCCGCGUGAGUG
rnacentral:rRNA from 1 species